rnacentral:rRNA from 1 species
UACGUAGGGGCUAGCGUUGUCCGGAAUCAUUGGGCGUAAAGCGCGUGUAGGCGGUCCGGUAAGUCCGCUGUGAAAGUCGGGGGCUCAACCCUCGAAUGCCGGUGGAUACUGUCGGGCUAGAGUGCGGAAGAGGCGAGUGGAAUUCCUGGUGUAGCGGUGAAAUGACGCAGAUAUCAGGAGGAACACCAAUUGCGAAGGCAGCUCGCUGGGACGUAACUGACGCUGAGACGCGAAAGCGUGGGGAGCAAACAGG